GAAUGGCAGAAUCAGAUUUGUAUUUCUAAAAAGUCCUUCUGGGCUGCUUCUCUGUGUAGAAUGAGUUGAAACGAAUCAUGAAUGGAAAUGAGACUUUCAAUUAAGAGGUCAUUGCAUUGGGCAAAGCGUGACUGUGACUUUGACUGGGACAGUGGUAGCAACGACAGAGCAGGGACUGGAAGGGUGUGAAAGACAGCUGCCAGAUGGACGCAGCAGGAUCCGAAGCUGCCUGCGAUGUGGUGGGAUCAUAGCUUUCAGGAACACUCUCUUUCUAGAGGAACUUUCCUAAAUGCAACUCCCUUUCUCAGUGACAGACAAAAAGCUGAAAAGAAAAAGAAAUUGAGUUUGACCCUACUCUCCAGCCCAUUGGCUCCCGUGGAGCCCAGGCCAUGCCACGCACACUUCUGGCAUUAGAAAUGGCUUUGCCCAGAAAAGCCACAUUGACACCACUCGAGCCUGGAGCCUCUGUCAUCAGUGUGGCUUGUCCAUUUCGGUCUCCUUUGUGCCAGCCUCUACAGAGGGUUACAUUCUAUCGCCUUCCCAGGAAACCGAGGAAGCCUGUGUGAAGAGUAGAGGGUGGGGGACCAUGCAGUCAGGUGUUCCCUCACUUGGGCAUCUCUUCCGUCCUGCUCUCCGGCAGCCACAGGGGCAGGUGUCCCCCCACACCAGCGGCCUGUUUUCCGGGGAGGCGCUCUCUGGUUCGGGAUCUUGGGCCCAAUGACGUCCACAUCAAGGGCUAAUGAGCUAGUCAUCGUUUGUGCAUUAACUCGCCCUUCGAGGGAUUUUGAGUUGGUCGACCUCCUCAAAAAUAGAUGUUUACACAUUUUGGUAAUAUCGGUCAUACCAAGACCCGCUGGAUAUGUAUUAAUUAACCUACCACUGCCUGAUGAAUCGCUGAACUUGAUGACCAUGUACCAGCUCUACCAAGGUAACUUUUGCCUCAUUGGUAUGAAGUUAGAAUCUAACUCUGGUCAAAAAACUCAUGAAAUGAAACCAAAGGACUCCGAUAUGCAUCCUUAUAGGGUUGUUAGGGAUGUGUCCCUUCAUCAGACUUAUUCCUUCUCAUUCUCGUAGCAUCUUUGUUCUAGAACCUUCAAAAUAUGUAUUUUGAGAUGCCGUUCAACUGCCAUAUUCUCUACGAUGCUCUUCCUGAGGACAGAAUUACCACCCACCCACCCACCCAUAUUUCCAUAGCUUUUCAUAGUGACUUUACCACAGCUGUGGUGGGAGGCUGGUGGGGGAGAGGUGGGUACAGGUGUCAAGGCAAGAAAGGUGAGGUCUCUGAUUCUACCUGAUCCCUCAGGCAGGAUUCUCAGGAUGGAAGUCACCACACGCCAGGUCUGCACCUCACCACUCCUCAAAGGUGACCUGUUAGUUUGUGACAGACUCUUGCUUAUUAAAUGUAGCAGGAUAAAAUAUUUAACCCAUUGCUCUGUAUAAAUAUUUUCUGAAACCAGUCUAAACUUCCUGUGGAGCCUCUCUAUCCCACUGAGUAGAGGGGAGGAAAAUAAAGUUAUU